rnacentral:rRNA from 1 species
AUUGAACGCUGGCGGCAGGCCUAACACACGCAAGUCGAGCGGAUGAGGGGAGCUUGCUCCCUGAUUUAGCGGCGGACGGGUGAGUAAUGCCUAGGAAUCUGCCUGGUAGUGGGGGAUAACGUUCCGAAAGGAACGCUAAUACCGCAUACGUCCUACGGGAGAAAGCAGGGGACCUUCGGGCCUUGCGCUAUCAGAUGAGCCUAGGUCGGAUUAGCUAGUUGGUGAGGUAAUGGCUCACCAAGGCGACGAUCCGUAACUGGUCUGAGAGGAUGAUCAGUCACACUGGAACUGAGACACGGUCCAGACUCCUACGGGAGGCAGCAGUGGGGAAUAUUGGACAAAGGGCGAAAGCCUGAUCCAGCCAUGCCGCGUGUGUGAAGAAGGUCUUCGGAUUGUAAAGCACUUUAAGUUGGGAGGAAGGGCUGCUGGUUAAUACCCUGCAGUUUUGACGUUACCAACAGAAUAAGCACCGGCUAACUUCGUG